GCGUCUCAGCAUUUUACUCCCCUUUUUCAACAGUUGCUGCCUCCACUCCAGGCUUUUAUUCAAGCAGCACCGGUACCUGGCAGUAGCUCCUACAAUGUUUUCUACAUUGGCUCUAAAAUCAUGGCCUAGUAGACACCAAUGCUUGACUUGUUUUUUUGUUUGUUUGUUUUGAGAAGUUGUUUACCAUUGGCGUGACGGGAUUUUCUUGGCCUUGUGAAGUACAGGGAGCCUCAGGAUAGCUUCACUGGGGGUGUCAUUACAUGGUCAUUAUCAGUGGUAAGUUUCCCAGUCUCAAGAUGGAACCCUCUGUUGCUUCUCUGCCACAUGUUUGGCUCUGUUGACCUUCCAUUGCUCACCUGUGCUUGUUCCCCCAGCAGCCUGUUUCUUGUAACUAUUUGCCUCAUAAUGCAAGUAUUCUAGUGAUUGAAGUGUUGCUGUGCAAAAGAGAUCUUUUAAACUGAAACCAGUAAAACAAAACAAUUUAAAACAUUUUAGUACUUUCUUAAAGGAUACAGAGCCUUUUCCUCUCUUAAUACAUGCAGGUCAGAAUGACGUCAAUAAGGAUUAUAUUUUUGCAUUAACAGGAAAACUAAGUUUAUAAGACUAGAGUAUGGAUAGAGAGGAAGAUGGUUCUAUUGGGAUAUAAACUCUGAUCCAUACAUGGAAGUAGCCCAGUCCGUACAAACACCAUUGCCUGUUUCAUUCUUGACUGGACAUACAUAUUGCCCCAUUGUGAUGAAAGGUUGUGAUAAUGAAGAGAGUAAUAGAAGGCUCAGCUCAGGUUCUAAGGAGGGAGCGAGUAAAGGCCAUGCAGGCCCAUCCUUCUGUGGUCAGUCACUGCUGGUUGGGGAAGGAAGGAGAGACACAACCGCUUCAGAUGGGCAGUGAAAAGGACGAUGGAAAGGCCAGGACACCACGGAAGUUCUGAAGGGGUAGUGGGAACCGAUAACAUGAUUUCUUACUCAUUUUCUUUUUCAAAAUGAUGUUUGAUGAGCACUGAUUUUACAGAGGGUGCCUGUCUGAGAGUAUGAGGGUUUGCAGAAUACAGAGCUAACAGGAUUACAUGGGGCUUAGGGGGUCAUGCUGCCAACGAGAUAAGGAGGUCUACUACUACUGCCUUUAUUCACCAUUUUUCUGUGGGCACUAGCUGAUGCACUUGGACAAAAGAGAAAAAGGUAUACAUGCAGAAAGAGAGAAAUUGACUUAUCAUGUGCAUAUGAUAUGCUUAUAUGCUAUACAAUAUGCUAUUUAUUACAAAUGAUAAGGUAAUACAGUGAGGUGGCUUGACAUAGAAUUAAUAUACAAAAAUAACCGUAGAGAAAAACAACAAGGUAGAAAAUAGAGUGGAAGCAAAUGCUUCAUUCAUAGUCAGGAUAAGUGAGAAUAAUAAAGAUGAACUACCUCUGCCAGAUAUUGCAUAUUUUAAACCAUAUUAUGGUUUAAACUAUAUUUAAUGUACUAUAGUUUAAUAUAUUUAAAUAUACUAGUAUAUUAGUAGAUGUAUAGUAUAUUAAUAUACUGAAUAUAGUUUAAUAUAUUUAAACUAUAUUUAAGUAGCAUAGAAUUGAUACUGUGUAGACUGAGAAAUCAGUAGUACAGAAUAGAAAUGGAAAAUUGGUGUCCAGAGCUAGACACCAAUAUAGAAUGAAAAUUUGUCUUUGGUGGCAUUUUAUAUCAGUGAAGAAUGGUAGAUUAUUCAAUAGUUUGGGACAACUGGGUGGCCUUCUGGAAAAACAAAAAUUGGAUCUAUACCUAGUUUCUUCUGCCAACAUAAAUGCCAGAUGAAUCAAAUAUUUAAAUAUUAAAAGCAAUAGAAGAAAAAGGAGAAAUUUAAAAAAUCUUAUGGUGGUACAGUCUUCCUAGGUAUAACACAAACCAUGGAAAUCAAAAAGAGAGAGACUGACAUAUUAAAUUUCCAAAAACAAAACAAAACAAGCAGGUUUCAUGGAGCCCGAGGCCAUGAAAGCUUCAUGGACCAACAUAAACAAAGUCAAAAGACAAACAAUGAAUUGAAAAUCACACAUAAAAACCAAAGGACUGAUAUCCUUAAUUUAUAAAGUAUUCUAAUAAAUUAGUAAGAAAAGAUCAAUAACAUAAUGAAAAAAUGGAAUAAAGGUAUAAACAGACAAUUGACAGAAAAAAGAAAUAUAGAUGACUCUUAAAUAUACAGAAAGAUAUCCAACUUACGAUACGUUACCAUUUUUAUUAACUGUUAGAAUGAUAAACAUAAAAACAUUUAUUGUUGAAGGUGGAGGGAACAAGACAUCCAUGCAUAAUGGGAACAUAAAUUGGAAUAACUUCUACAGUGGGUGUUGUGAUAAUCUUUAUCCAAAAAUGCACAUACCCAUGAACUCAGUAAUUCCACUUCCAGAAAUGUUAUCCCACAGAAAUAUUUAUGUGUGAAGAUAUAUUUAAGAAUAUUUCUUGUAACAUCUAAAUGUCUUUCAUUACUCUAUGUUUCAUUUUGCUUAUCUGUAAGGUGGCAAUAGGGAUUCUAGUUUCCUGACACUUGAAAUGGCUGGUAUAGGAGCACCUCAGAAACAAGCUAGGCUGCUAGAAAGAAGAAAGGUAUUCUCUAAAUUUAGAACAUUAUUCCAAUAUUUCAGAAAAAGGGAGAGUCCUAAUUAUAAGGUAGUUGCGCUGUGCUUUGUAAUGCCAGGGCAGAGACAGCCCAGGUAUUAGGUUCUCGCUUGCUUUUGUGCUCUGUUUGGAAGCACGUUGGAGACCAGUGUGACGGGAGUGGCUGGUGGCCUUUAUUGUAUGGGGUCCUCAGCGUUGGAGCGUUAGCACCCAGAAGAUGUGCUCCUCCCCACUAGGAAUCUAGCUCUGGCCCUCUGGCAGUGUCUCUAGGGAGAAGUUUCUCUAGGGCCAUUUUCUUGACACCCAGCAAAUAAGAAUCCCUUAUAUUUGACAAGAUUACAUUCACACCAACAUUAAUUUGACUCAGAUAAUGAUGCCAACUGUUACACAGUCCAUCAGCAUAAUUAUAGGUGAGGAAAUUGCUAAGAGAGGUCCCUGAGCAGUUGGAGGCCAGAAGGAAAUAUUUUCAAUUAAUUAAUGGCUGGGCAGGUAAAUUUUUUUAGUAUUAAAAAAAUUAAGAAUUCCCUAGUGUAAGAUGUCAUGGCUGCUAACUGUCUAGAAAGGGGUACAUAUCAGAAGAGGGUAAGCUGAGAUUCAUGGAUGUUCAAACUUUGGUUGUAAGCGCUUUUCUUCUUUAAAUAUUAUUUUAAAGAUACUGUGUUAGGUUUUUCUUCUUUUUUUCCCCCUUAACCCCAAAACAAACUCUAAUAAAAUAACCAUUCUGUGAGUUUAUAAGUUGCACUGGCUAGAAUUUAGCAAAAUGAAAAGAAUUUAACUUGGAUGAAUAUAUUAUGCCUAAGGAAUUGAGCAUCAGUCUGGGCUUUGUUAAUGGUGAAUGCCUAAACCACCAAAUGAUUCUGUUGUUUUUGUGGGUUUCUUGAAAGAGACCAAGUAUUUAUACUCUCCCUGACUUAUGUAACACUUCAGCUAUUGCAUUGGUAAGUCAAGAAAAAUAAGGAACAGAGAACAGGUUUGAAAUAAAGCUUCCUAUCUGGGUUGCAAGGAUAUACUUUCUAAUUAUUUGUUAUGAUAAUUUUAUCAAUUGCACCUACUGCAAGUGCUCCUUGUCCUUGGAUCAAUGUGCAUUAGCCAGAGACUGUCUUAUCAGUAAGCUUCUGAAUUGCCUGUAUGAGGCACAAAUCGUUGGUUGCUCAUCCACAACAUAAGAGACUUGAUGUUGGCCUUUUGGGAGCUCAUGUUUCAAAUCAGAUUAGAGCUAAUGUGGCCAGAACAUAAGAACACAAGGAAAAAUGAACAAAAUGUUGUAGGUAUGAAUGUGCUAUGGGGCGUGCUUUGUUUAAAGCAAACCUCAUAAAAGAACAGCAGGGUUAAAGAAGCCUAUUAAGUUAGGGAUCACUUAUUUGCUUUACAAGAAGGGAGUGACUUAAGCACAGCUCUUGUGGCACAUUCAGAAUAGAAUUUGACUUACAAAAAAAUCUAGAUCACAGAUUCCGAGUUGAAAGCAUGUCAUAUAAGUGAGAUAAAGAACAGUGAUGCUUUAUUUAACUGGGGAACAGAUUUCAGGUAACCUUGGGUAACCAGAACGUGAUCAUGAAUCAGAAAGUGCUGUGGAAGAAUAGAAAGAACUGAACUGAACUGAAUGGCCAGGGGUCCGGCCUCCCACGACCCCCAAUCCCAUUCUCUAUACCUUGUUUCCUAUUGGUGAAAAGAAGGUAUUAGACAGUAUCAAAGUCUCUCCCCUUGUUAAAAAUUGAUAAUGUAAUCUAUCCUUUAUUUGUUUUUAUAUAUUUUAUAUAUUUAUAUAUUUGUAAUAUUUAAGAAAAGAUUUAAUUUAAUAAAUAUACAUAGCAAAGCAUUCAAACAGUGAAAAAGUAAAUGCUUAAAAGUUUAUUUUCCAGCCAGGUGUGGUGGCUCACUUCUGUAAUUCCAAUGUUUUGGGAGGCCACGGGAGGUCAGGCAUUUGAGACCAGCCUGGGCAACAUGGUAAAACCCCGUCUCUACUUAAAAUACAAAAAUUAGCCAGGCAUGGUGGUGUGACUGUAGUCCCAGCUACUUGGGAGGUGGAGGCAGGAGAAUCACUUGAACCUGGGAGGCAGAGGUUGCAGUGAGCAGAAGUCACACCACUACACUGGUGUGACAGGCUGGGUGACAGAGCAAGACUCCAUCUCCAAAAAAAAAAAAUGCUUGUCUUCCUCUUAUCACAGACUCCCACUUCCCUCUCUAGAGACUAGUUCCUUGGAUAUCCUUCCAGAAAUAUUCUGUGCGUUCUGUAAACUUAUGCAUAUGUCUUUUGGAAACAAAAAGGAAAAUCAUGCACACUAUCCUGCUUCUUGCUUUUGUUACUUACCAAUUUGGAAAUUGUUAUGAUAGGCUCAUAUUGAUCUGCUUUCUUCUUCUGAAAGACUCUUCAGUGUAGUAAUCCAUAGUUCAAUACUUAGUUGAACUAGAAUCUUGGUAAAUAUUUCAUUUAUUUCAUAAAUCUUCUCUUCAGUUCCCUGCAGCUCUAAAUUUCUAUGACUGUAACAUCUAAGUUAAAAAGAUGUCUGAGAUGUCUGAGUAAGAAAAAAAAUAGUUGUUGCAAAUCACAUGUGCUGCUUCUCUUGGGGGAUAAAGGCCCAUUUGUUCUUGGUCCCUGACCACUGACAUGUAUGGUGCAAAGCAAGGGCUGAAAACACUGGUCCAUAUGUCACCAGGGGCAGGGGGCGAAGGAAGCACAUUUAUUCACAGUGGAGACAGGCCUCUUGCAUUGUCAAUUUUACCCGUGUGAGAAUUGUUGUUCCUGUUGGUGACUGGGUCACUGAUAAAAGAUUAAAUCAGAUUGGAGACAAAAACUGCACUGCCUUUUAAAGCAAUAUAUACAUGUAAGAGGUUUUUCAUGUUUAAAUGUUAAAAAGUUAUUUGGGGUUACAGAUGAACCUCUUAAAGAGAAGGCUGUGUAUAUCGUGUGGGAGCUGGAAGAAAGGGAGUUGUAGAAUUUGAGAGGUAGAAGGUUUGAGUGAUUUUCCCUCUCUGUAUAAUGAUCUGAAGUGAAGAGACCAAUGUACUUUUUUAGGGCUGGACUGGGGCACGAGUGGAAAGGCAAUCAUAGACCAUCCAGGUGCUCCCAGAGUUUAGGGACAACUUGGCAUGGGCCAUGCUGGCUUACUCUGAAGCAGAUACAGCACAUACCUUAGGGUGCCAGCAAAGUCAGGGCACUGCAAAUUUAUUUUGGAAAUAGUUUUAUGUUUAAUAUUUACCAAAAAGCUUCAAAAUAGCCAUCAUGGGAAAAGCCUGAACUUCGCUGGAUUUCUUUCUCUUAUGGCUUAGGAUUAGAUUUAUUUAAAAUUACAUACAUGGGGAGCAUUAAGUUUCAGUACUAAGGUUCUAAAAGCUGUAACCAGGCCAGAAUGGGGCCUUUGGAAACCAGUGAGCUGUGUCCGUCAGUGGGCUGGGCGGUUCUCCAUUACAAUCUGUGCAAGGAAGAAUGAGCCGUUUGCAUUUCCGUGGCAGGAAUAGUCAUUUUGCCACCCUCAGAUUUGAUUUCCUCAGAGGAACAGGCUGGGUGCACCUGUUGCUGGUCUGCAGUGUCUCCAGAGAGACUGUGGAUUUUCACUGUGACUCAUGAGAAUUAUUUAUGGCCACCAAGCUGGUGGACACCAGCAGACUGAGUGACGCAGGCUCAGAGAGUGUUUCCCCUCUGUCCAUCAAAGGUUUUUCUGGAAUGCCUUCAAUAUAUUGGUUUUUAGCAUUUGUGCAAGAAAGAGAAAAGAGAAUAACUAACUGUCUGGCACAUUCAGUAGUGUUCUUCCCAGUCCAUUCAUUCCUAAAAGGCUUUCAGUUCAGGCAUCCGCUUCGUUGAAUUGAAAGUGCAUCAGUAUCAAUAUUGGCAUCUUAUCAUUAUACUCCACUUCGUGUAUGAAGAGAGACAGUUUUUAUCAGCCUUCCCUCCCCACGCCCCCUUUAAUGAAUCUAAUUUCUGCUGCUGGUAUUUGGUAUUUGAGAUCAUUAGCUCAGUGGAAGAGAGCCCUGUGCUAAUGAGUACAAGGUCACAGCUUUGCAUGGAGGCGGCACUCUUUCCUGUAGCGGACACCUGCAGGCCCAGCCAACUGCUUUGCCAGCAUUUCCGUGAGGCAUGGGAAGCCAGGUGAGGAGGGUACAGGUGGCUUAGAACUCAGCCCAUCUCUGUCCUUCUCUGGACACAACACACUGCUCUGAGGUUCUACUGACUAUGUGUCCGUUGUUCUAUCUUAGGAAAAUGAUAGUUUCAGUGUUAAUAAUAACAGUCAAGCCUCAGAGGUUUUUUUUUUAAAAAAACCUUCACUCAUGGAAAAAGUUUCUUGGUGUGGAUGGUUCAUUUUUGUUCAUGAAUUCACCAAGAAGUUAGUGAGUUUUAAGGGCUCUAUGGACAGUGAGGAGUCUACAAAGGUAAAUAAGAUACAGCUCCCACCUGUCUUAGUUUCCCAGGACUGCCAUAACAAAGCACCACAAACUGGGUGGAUUCCAAGCACAGAAAUUUAUGACUUUUACUUCUGGAAACUAGAAGUCCUAAAUCAAGGUGUUGGCAGGGCCAUGUUCCCUCUGAAACAUGUCGGGGAGUUUUUUCUUGUCAUUUCCACCUUCUGGUAGCCCCAGGCACUCCUGGGCUUGUGUUAGCACCACUCUGCUCCCUGCUCUGCCUUUACAGGGCCCUUUUCCUCUCCCUGUCUUCUCCUCUUCUUAUAAGGACAGUCAUUGAAUUAGGGCCCACCCUAAUGACCUCAUCUGAACUUGAUUACUCUGCAAAGGCCAUGUUUCCAAAUCAGGUCACAUUCAUCAGUACUGAGGGCUAGGACUUCUACAUACAUUUUUAGGGGACACAAUUCAACCCAUAAAACCAUUUGUCCUCAAGAUGCUUCCAAUUCAGUGAGGGAGACUGAUGGAAAAGAUGAUGGAAUCAGUGCUACAAGGGGCCCAAGCACUGUGCUGAAGAGUCCAAGGGAGGACACACACACACACACACACACACACACACACCCAUGCACACACACCCCCAUACACACCCCACUCCACCCCACACUAAACACACAUCUAUCACAUGAUGUAGAAUCGGUCCAUUCUAAAUGCUCUGUGGGUGAGUUUGCCCUGGCAUGUGGGCUCGAGGGAUGAGUGGAAUUUUAGUUGUAGAGAAGUGAGCCGUGCAGGGUGUUUCAAGCUGAACCUGAGCAAUGUCAUGGAUGCACUUUUGGUCUGGCCUGGGAAAGAAGAUGCUUCUGGUAACAAUGUGUAAGGGAAGGAUUGGACGCUGGAGACUUGAGGCUGACUGAGAGAUUCUGCAGGGGGCCAGGGUGGCUCAGGAGGCCUGAACUUGGAAGUGGUGGUGGGAUGAGAAGUCAGGAACAGAUCCUGAGGAGUGCGGGGUAGGGGAGUGAAGUAGGUGGGAGGUGGCAAAGGAUAGGUGGGUGGGAGAAGGUCAGAGGCAACCCUCAGACUUCCUGAAAGGGCCAUUUGGGAGAACGGUGAAGACUUUAGGCAAGAUAGGGGGUUUAGGCAGAGAGUAAACUUGAAAGGAAGAUAAGUUUGCUUGUAAAGAUGUUGAAUCUGAGAUCAUUAAAGCUCCAGUGUAGAUGCCCAGCACCAAGUGAGAAACUCGAGAUUAGCAUUCUGGAGGAGAGGCCAGGGCUGGAGGUGAGAAUGCCAUUGUGAUGGUUGGAACCAUGGGGGUGGCUGAGGUGACCUGGAGAGAAAGUGGACAGAAGAGAAGCAGGGCAAGGCCCAGGUUUAGGGAAUGCCCCGAGGCAUGGGUAGGAGAUGGUGCAGGCCGGAAGGGCAGGGAGGAAAGUCGAGAGGAGAUGGUCACCCAGCAGGGCUGGGUCCUGCCUUGAGCUAGCUGAAAAGAAUGGAAAAUGAGGAGGCUGUCAGAUCUGACAGCUGAUGUUCUCUCUGAGAGGCUGGUCUCAAGAAAACUCUCCACAAAGUGACUGGGGCAGAAUCCAAAUUGCAAGAGGUUAAGGAGAGGUAGAAUAAGGCAGUCGGGGUGGACCGUCACCCCUGAGAGGUUUGGCAAGGAGAAGUGAGAAGGCAUGGACAUCUGAAGAAGCAGGUUAAAGAGAAGGAAUUUUCAGUUAGGGAGGAAGAUAGAGAGGACAGUACAUUGAUAAGGCGAGUUCUGGAAAAGAUGGCAGGUCCUAGGAUCCAUAGCAGGGAGAGAAGUUUGACUGAGACUUAAGGGAAGUUAGGGAACAUAUAGGGAGUCAUGGUGUGAAAGAAGUCCAACUCGUGUGGAAAUGUUUAAUCCGUGAGGGUCACUCUUCCAGCCACCUGAAUCCUGGGGGGUGGAAUUUUUGACCCGUGGACACAGAUUUUGUGGUUAUUUAUUUCUGCUGUAUCCUAACGAUAUGAGGAUGAGAGGCUUACACCUCAGCUCCAAGAGCUUCCCAUAGCUUCUUGUGGCCAUUUCGAGAACUAAGGAGAGCUCUGGCAUUCUAGAUAGGCUUUCUCUAGCCUCAAGUAUUAAAGCCAGGUAAAAUGUCUCAUCUAGGAAACGACAGUAGGAGCCUGAGCUGGAAAUAGCAAUUAUUUUCCCUUCAUCACCAUCCAAGGGAAAAACUAUGCUUUGCCCUCGCCCCUGCCUCUCUCUAGAUCUGAAUUUUUGGAUCUGGAUAUGGAUGAUGGGCAGAAAAGUAAGGAUGGGUUCAGGGAGCAUGGAGUAUAUGACUUCAACCCCAUGCCACGCUUAUUGGGUGCCAAAGGUUUCACUCCAGGCCUUCCCCAUCUAAGUGCUAACAGACACAAGAGGAACAGGUUUCCUGUCUUCAUGGAACUUAUGUGGGACUAACAGCCUGUCCUAUGCUAGUGGGCAAGACAAGAAUUCCCUGGGAAAUGCAUAUGAAUGAGUUGUGUGGUUGAGGAAGGAGAGGCAAAGUCAAUGUUGGUUAGAGUGGCUGAGAAAGGUUCAGGGAGGACAUGAGUGAGACUUCGAAUGGUGGGUGGAUUGGAUAGAUGGGUAAGACAUGGAAUAGCAUCUUGGGUGGAUGGCCAAUAUGAUGGAAGCAAUGUGGUGUGUCCAUGAGACAGUAAGACCGGCAGACUACAGGGGAGUGUAUCUGGGGGUGGACGGUAAUCAGGUAGGACAAACCUGAAAUGUGGAGGGUUUUAAAUAUCAGGCUGAGUAGUGUGGGCUUUUUCCUGAGAAUGGCUGAGAGCUACUAGAAGUUAAAGAGAAGGGAUCACAUGAGGAGAUCGGUGUUUUGGAAAGAGACCUGCCUCUCCCUUCUCCUUCAGUUUGGCUAUAAAGAGCCAACUGCCUCACGUAAGAUGCACUGGUCCUGCCCCCUGCCCCUGUGAGACACAUACAAGGUGGCAGUUCCUUCUCCCUGUUUUUCCUGAGUCAGGAAACUUUCUCCCAGCAGCUUGGAUGUAUUCCUUCAAACUCUACAGAACGAAGGUUAUUGUAAAGUUUGAAGAGGAAAAUCUGUUUUUCAGUGUUUCUCCUUUUAUCUCUUCUUCUUGACUUUGGUCUCUUCCCCUUAGCCUCUAAGGAUCUUGGUAACAUUCCUUUUUGGAUUUUCUCUGUUCCUGCGAUGAUUUUAAUGAAACCAUCACCACCCACAGAAAAGAACCCAGAGUCAGGCUGGAGGUAGAGAGGUCAACUUCAUUACAGUCUUUCUUUCCUUUUCUGCAGGGAGAUGGUGUAUGUGUUAGAUAAAUGUACCACCACUUCACCAAAUAACUACCCAUCACAGAAAUCCUUGAAGAAAUCCUAAAAUAACAAUAAUAGAAUAUGUAUAAUAGGCUGGGCAUGGUCGCUCAUGCCUAGAAUCCCAACACUUUGGGAGGCUGAGGCAGGUGGAUCAUUUGAGGUCAGGAGUUCGAAAUCAGCCUGGCCAACAUGGUGAAACCUUAUUGCAGCUAAAAAUACAAAAAUUAGCUGGGUGUGAUGGUAUGUGCUUGUAAUCCCAGCUACUCAGGAGGCUGAGGCAGGAGAAUUCUUGAACCCGGAGGUGGAGGUUGCAGUGAGCUGAGAUCACGCCACUGAACUCCAGCCUGGGCAAUGGAGUGAGACUCCGUCUCAAAAACAAAACAGAAACCAAUAGUAGAGUAUGUACCAUGCUUGUAGGAUGCAAGGUCUCAUGGGGAAGAGGGUGGAGAGCAGAAAAAAGAAACAGAUUUUAACGUCAGGCUGACAAGAGUUUAUUGUACUCAUCAGUGGUUAGAAUAAUUACUUAAAAUUUUUCUUUUUUUAUUUUAUUAUUAUUAUACUUUAAGUUUUAGGGUACAUGUGCACAAUGUGCAGGCUAGUUACAUAUGUAUACAUGUGCCAUGCUGGUGUACUGCACCCAUUAACUCGUCAUUUAGCAUUAGGUAUAUCUCCUAAUGUUAUCCCUCCCCUCCCCCCACCCCACAACAGUCCCCAGAGUGUGAGAAUUUUUUUUUUUUUUUUGGAGAACAGGGGUCUCUCUGUGUUGCACAGGCUGGUCUUGAACUCCUGGCCUCAAGUGAUCCUUUCACCUAAGCCUCCCAAAGCAAUGGGCCUAUAGGUGUGAGCCACCACACCUGGCCGAAAUAACUUUUUCGAUUAUUAAAAAAAGGCUUUAUUCCUAUUGAAUACAUAUUUACAGUCUUUACAUGUUUACAUAUUUAACAGGAAUAAAGCCUUUUUUUAUAAUUAAAUAAAUUAUAUUGCCAGGGCCCCAAAAAAGUCACCUUGUUUUUCCAGGUCCCUGGGGCAUUUGGCAGGAGGCAGUGGAAGUGCACCCAUCUCCUGGCCUGCUCACUUCGAGUUUCCCUUGAGGAGUUUUGUGUGUCUUUGCCCUGAUCUCUCCAUUUUACAUUUUGGGUUUGGUGUUGGCCUCCCCACAUGGCUGUGUGGUGGGUGAAGCUGCUACUCAGCUUCAUCUUUUCACUGGGUUCGAAACGGGCUUUUCUGAAUAAGCAAAAUGCAUGACGAGUAGCUUUGGAGUCUGUGGGGGUAAGCGGAAGCCCAGAAACCUGAUUCUCAGUUUUCCCACCCAGCUAGAAUCUUCUCAUGGGAAGUUGAGAAUGCUGAUUGUCACAUUGUUCCACAGAGUGAAAUGUGGCCACCAUGCGGCCUCUCAUCCUGAUAACAAGCUUUUCAUUAGACUUUUAGACUCACUGCAGAGCUCAGAGGCUUUGAAGCCCUGGUGAGGACCUAGAAGUGACUGCUGGGGACUCUGUUGAUCAUGUGACUGGUCUCAUGACUAGAGCCCCCAGUCACAGAGCUGCUUUCCUCCCAGGGCCCCACACCCCACUUCCUUUUUAUUCCAGGUCUUCUUUCCCCCUUGGCUUUUGUAAUUGCCACCAAGGCCCAUGUUUGGUGCAGAGCUGAAAGCAAACCUUUCUGUGACUACAUUAAUGUCCAUGGUAAUAUUAAAGAUUAUCCCCUGAUUGGAAAAGGUGGAUGUUGUUCUAAUACUUAGGAACAUGCCUCCAAAUAAGAUGAAAUGCUCUAGUGUAGCUGACAGUGACUGCAUCGUCCUUUCAAAGAGUCCAUGCUACCUGGGAGGGCCUGUGUAAGUGAAGAGGGGGCACACCCCACUGGCUGGCCUGGCCCUCCUGGCUGCCCACAUUCUACUUGGCUCUGGUCCGGAGGUUUUAUGGGGGAUCUGGAGAGCUCUGGUCUGGCUGACGCUGUUGCCCUCUCUGCCUCUUAAUGGCGCUCUGACCUUCUAUUGUUCUUGGCCAAAAUGAGUGAAAAUCCAUUUUAUUUAUUUAGCCAGGACAGAUAAGGACUAACAAACAAAACCAAACCAGAGUGGAAAUGGCAACCCGAGCCUCCCCAGCAAAAGCAAAGAAUUGGAGGGACAGAGAACAGGCUCUGCUCUUCACUCAGGGUGGACUGGUUGGCAUCUCUAUGUGGGUGGCAUCUCUAGCUCUUUCUUUUGUUCCGGCCCUGAUUACCUCCCUCCCUAGGUGACAUCCCUGCAGGUGCCAUCUUCACCUGAAGGCCCUUGGCUCCCACCUGCCUCUGUUCCCAGGAACUUUCUGGAAGUUACUUCCUGUUUCACAGCCCCUCUCUUACUUUGAGGUUCCCAUUUCCAGACUGAAAGGACAGACUAGCUCUGCUGACCACCCCAAUUUCCAGCAAGCUUUUUAAAAUGGAUUAGCACCUAGGGAUUCUUGCAGGCAGGUGGAAUUUAUCCCCAGAUUCUUUAAUUGGAUGUAGUUUUUUUUUACAUUGGAAGAAAUUGAGAAUAUUAAAACUCUUGCACAC